rnacentral:lncRNA from 1 species
GUCAGCCCGCCCCCGGAGGCGGGGCCUUAUAGAGGCGCGGUCACGUCACCAUGGUGACCGGCUUCUGCGGGGCGGGGCGAGCUCCGAGGCGCGUGAGCGGUGUGGGACCCAGAGCUAUCGAAUUAAGUCAAUAUGCCAUCUACAAGAUGGAGUCAGUGGUGCAUGGCUGGGGGAAGAGAGACAGCAGACAUCAGCUGAAAUAGGAGAAUCUGACCAGUAACAGCAAAACAUGAGAGUAUUGCGAGGGAGAACAGAAGAACAGGAGGAGAACGGAAGGAGAAACAGAAUUAUAGAGGAGCAAUGUAUAAAUUUACCAUUUUUAAAGUCAGUCAGAAGACAAAUACUCUGGUGGAAAUCUUGCCAUGAAGAAGAGCUGAAAAUAAGCACCUGGAUGAGCUGA